rnacentral:SRP_RNA from 1 species
GCUGGGUAUGGUGGUGUGUGCCUGUAGUCCUAACUGCUUGGGAGGCUGAGGCAGGGGGAUGGCUUGAGCCCAGGAGGUGGAGGUUGCAGUGAGCCAAGGGAGAUCGUGCCACUGCACUCCAGCCUGGGUGACAGAGCCAGACCCUAUCUCAA